UCUCCUGGAAAACGGGUGGUAAUGCCGGAUGCUCCAUCACACCGCAUGGUGUGUUGGGAAAGCCUUUGCGGCAUGGGAUGGGGUCGCGUCCUAUCAGCUUGAUGGCGGGGUAACGGCCCACCAUGGCUUCGACGGGUAGCCGGCCUGAGAGGGCGACCGGCCACAUUGGGACUGAGAUACGGCCCAGACUCCUACGGGAGGCAGCAGUGGGGAAUAUUGCACAAUGGGCGCAAGCCUGAUGCAGCGACGCCGCGUGAGGGAUGGAGGCCUUCGGGUUGUAAACCUCUUUUGUUAGGGAGCAAGGCAUUUUGUGUUGAGUGUACCUUUCGAAUAAGCACCGGCUAACUACGUGCCAGCAGCCGCGGUAAUACGUAGGGUGCAAGCGUUAUCCGGAAUUAUUGGGCGUAAAGGGCUCGUAGGCGGUUCGUCGCGUCCGGUGUGAAAGUCCAUCGCUUAACGGUGGAUUCGCGCCGGGUACGGGCGGGCUUGAGUGCGGUAGGGGAGACUGGAAUUCCCGGUGUAACGGUGGAAUGUGUAGAUAUCGGAAAGAACACCA
rnacentral:rRNA from 1 species